rnacentral:lncRNA from 1 species
CUGGUUUAUUUGGCUUCAGUGCCAAACAUCGUUGUUCACAUCUUCAGUGCAACAACAGUGAAAAAUUAGAGUUCCUGUUUUAGUUGGCUUCUCUUCAUUGGAAGAAACAGAUUCACUCAAGUGACUUCAAGAAGAAUAGAGUUUAUUAUGAGGAUGCAGGUAAAAGAGCAUUUGUGGGGCCGGGCUCGGUGUCUCACACCUGUAAUCCCAGCACUUUGGGAGGCCAAGGCAGGUGGAUCACAAGGUCAGGAGUUCAAGACC